UUAGUUUAAACUUAUAGGUUGGUAUCUGGUGCUGUUAAAGUGUAGAGUGACUCUUCGUGAAAAUGCCUAAAGUAAAGACAAGCCGCAUUAAAUAUCCAGAAGGAUGGGAGCUUAUUGAGCCUACUUUUCGUGAGCUUGAGGGUAAAAUGAGAGAAGCUGAAAAUGAUCCACAUGAUGGAAAGAGAAAAUGUGAGGCAUUGUGGCCAAUUUUCAAAAUUGCACAUCAAAAGAGUCGGUACGUAUAUGACCUAUAUUACCGGAGGAA